GAUGAACGCUGGCGGCGUGCUUAACACAUGCAAGUCGAACGAUGAAGCCCAGCUUGCUGGGUGGAUUAGUGGCGAACGGGUGAGUAACACGUGAGUAACCUGCCCUUAACUCUGGGAUAAGCCUGGGAAACUGGGUCUAAUACCGGAUAGGAGCGCCUACCGCAUGGUGGGUGUUGGAAAGAUUUAGCGGUUUUGGAUGGACUCGCGGCCUAUCAGCUUGUUGGUGGGGUAAUGGCUCACCAAGGCGACGACGGGUAGCCGGCCUGAGAGGGUGACCGGCCACACUGGGACUGAGACACGGCCCAGACUCCUACGGGAGGCAGCAGUGGGGAAUAUUGCACAAUGGGCGAAAGCCUGAUGCAGCGACGCCGCGUGAGGGAUGACGGCCUUCGGGUUGUAAACCGCUUUCGGUAGGGAAGAAGCGAGAGUGACGGUACCUGCAGAAGAAGCACCGGCUAACUACGUG
rnacentral:rRNA from 1 species